GUUCAAGCGGCCGCAGAGCGGCCCAGAGUUCGCAGGUCUGGGGCUCUCUUCCCAGAGAGCUCGUAGGGGAGGACAGUCAAGGGACUCAAGCGUCUCUCUUGACUCCCCUUCUCUCGCUGUGCAGUGGCGGCGCCGAGGGGUCGACGCUCAGGGCUAAUCUCUAUGAGUCACCCUCGAGGCCCCGGGUAAUGUAAGUAAAAUCGGGGUGCAGGAACAAAACAAGUCCCCUUGCUCCGGCUUUCAACUCAUUGGCCCCCGCUCAGCAACUACCUGCAUUGAAAUUCCAACCCCAGUUGCAGGAGCGGUGUUAGUCUCAACCAAUACUGGAGAUGGGAGCCUCUCUUUCCAGGAUUGGACGGACCUCCGAUUCCCUAGCACGGUGGAUCUCAGACUAAAGCGUGUGUCUCUGGAGGGCUUGAGAAAACACUGAUAGACCCCAGAGUUUCUGUUUCAGGAAGUCUAGGGUGUGACCUGAAAAUCUGCAAUUCUCAUAAGCUCCUUGGUGAUGCUGAUCCUGCCUGCUGGUCUGGGAUCAGGCUUGAGAAUCACUGCCCAGCUUAAUCCUGGGCCUGGCAUCGAGUGGGGGCCAGGUGUGUAUGAACAGAAGAUACCAGAAAAUCAGCUUGUCAGCUCAUUUUGUGUGCCUCAGAAGGCCCAACAGAGAAUUCAGGAAAGAUGCCAGGUAUAAGCUGAAGAUUGGGUGGAUCACAAGAACUAAUCUUUCAUGAUUUGGAAACCGGAAGGAAAGAAGCACUUUUGUAGCUGACUUACCUCAAUGACAUGACCAGUGUCUGAGCCUACAACUGCGCUAUCUUCCCUGGAUUUUUCUUCACCUUUUCCUUACUCAUGAGCCAGGUAUGUGUUUUUAGUUCCAUAAAAAAGAGCCCUGGCCAGGCGUGGUGGCUCACACCUGUAAUCUCAGCACUUUGGGAGGCUGUGGCAGGCAGACCACUUGAGCUCAGGAGUUUGAUACCAGGAUGGGCAACAUGGUGAAACCCCGAUCUAUAAAAAAUACAAAAAAUUAUCCAGGCAUGGUGGCAUGAGCCACUAUUCCCAGCUACUCAGGAGGCUGAGGUGGGAGGAUGUCUUGAGUCUGGGAGGUGGAGGUUGCACUGAGCCGAGAUAAGUGCCACUGUGCUCUAGCCUGGUUGACAGAACCAGAGCCUGUCUCAAAAAAACAAAAAAAAGAAAAAAGAAAAAAAAAAUUACCAUUCCACUAAGGUCAGAGGCAACAAAAAAAGACAUGGAUUUCAGUCUAUCCUCAUGGAGUACUAGCUCACGAUUACAGGGUUUCAGCUUGCUUGUGAUAGUCUUUUCCUGACAUUCCCUUACUGACUGCUUUCCCUAUGGACUCUAUAUCAGAUGCAGAGACACAGCCUUACAGAAGCUGCUUAACCAACUCUAAUAACCACAUAAGCCAAUUCCCUGUAACAAGUUUCUUUAUAUAUGUAUGUAUGUGUUCGACUAGAGAAGCAGGACCAGUGUGAGGUAUACAGAGGUACUAUUCCCAGACUGUGUGCAUAUUGCAUACUGAUUCCCCUUCGUCUUUUAGGUGUUUAUUUCCUAGGCUUCACAGUUUCCUUACAAUUCCUUACAUUAGUAUUCUGCUGAAUACAUGGGGAGGACUAAAGAACUUUCCAGCGUUCCCUCUCUGUGAAGCCCUCUCCUCUCUAAUAUUCUGCUUGCAAACUCUAGCUGCCCUAAUAUUUUUGCACUCCACUUUUUCUACUUAUGGAGUCUGCUGGGGGUCUGCCUGUGUUCCCUCUCUGCUGUGACUAGAACGUGUUCCCUAAAGUUUGUGUGUUAGAAGCUUAAUCUCCAAUGUAACAAUAUUGAGAGUUGGGACUUUCAAGGGAUGAUUAGGUCAUGAGGAUGAUUAGGUCAUGAUUAGGGCAUUAGCUCUGCCCUCAUGAAAGAAUUAAUGUUGUUGUUAUGGGAGUGGGUUAGUUAUUGCAGGAGCAAGUUCCUGAUAAAAGGAUGAGUUUUGCUCCCUUCCCCUGUGUGCUCUCUUGCUCUUCUGCUUUCUGCCAUGGAAUGACUCAGCAAGAAGGCCCUCACCAGAUGCACUCUUCUUGACCUUGGACUUCCCAGUUUCCGGAACUGUGAGAAAUGAAUUUCUUUUCUUUAGAAAUUGCUUAAUCUGUGGUAUUCAGUUAUAGCAACAUAAUAUGGACUAAGACAGAAAAUUGGUACUGAGAAGUAGGGCUGUUGCUAUGAGAAAUACCCACAAAUGUGGAAGUGGCUUAGGAACUGGAUAAUGGAUAGAGGCUGGAAGAAUUUGGUGUAGCAAGGUAGAAAAAGCUUGGAUUGCUGUGAAUGGUGCAUUAAGGGCAAUCCUGGUGAGGGCUCAAAAACAGAGAAGACGAGAGAAAGUCUGGAACUUAUUAGAGAUUAUUUAGGUGGUUGUGACCAGCAUAAUGAAAGAAAUAUGGACAGUAAAGGCCAUUCUGAUGAGGUUUCAGAUGGAACUGAAGAACAAGGUAUUGGAAACUAGAGCAAAGGCCACCCUUGUUAUAAAGUAGCAAAUAACUGGGCUGAACAGUGUCCGUGCCCAGAGGCUUUAUGAAGGGUGAAAGUUAAGAGUGAUGGACUAGGAUAUCUGGUGAAAGAAAUAUCUAAACAGCAAGUCCUCCAUGCUGUGCAUGGCUACUUUUAACUUCUUACAGUAAAAUAAGACAGGAAAGAGACGAUUUAAAGACAGAAUUUAUCGUUAAAAAGUCCGUAUGCAUUCUGUCCUGCCCUUCUGCCUUCUACUGUGGGAUGAUGCAGCAAAAAAGUCUUCACCAUAUGCAAGCCCUUCACUGUGGACUUGCCAGCAUCCAGAACUGUGAGAAAUGAGUUCCUUUAUAAAAUAAAUUACCCAGUUUGUGGUAUUCUGUUAUAGUAACACAAAACAGACUAAGACACCUUUUCUGUGCUCCGGCCUGGGACACUCUUUCAAGGCAGAAAGAUGGGCCAAUUGCAGGGCUCACCUUAUUUGUUUCCCAUCCCUCAGGAAUCACUGUCCUUUGUUUGAUGUGGAGUGUUUUGAAAAACUGUUGUUUCUUAUAUUUUGUCCUGUGAUUUGGUUGUUUUAGGUGGAAGAGUAAAUUCAGUCCUUGUUACUUCAUCUAAGUUGAAAGCAAAGUUUCAAUACAUGUAUUUUGAAUGUAAGAAUAAAUUUCUCUUUGGCAUCUAUCAUGAAAUUAAACCUUGAAUUAUGAAUAUAUCUGAUACUUAGGAAAAAAAUUAACUUUUUUAGAGUGAUGACCCUUUAUCCACCAGUGGUGUGUGUGUGUGUGUGUGUCCAUGUGCACACACACAUGCACAAAUUUUUUAUCUACCGGUGGUGUAAAUUUGUUAUUGUACUAAAAACCUUCACUUCAGAACACUUUUAGAAAUGUGUAUUAGUGUUGUUUUAUAGCAAGGAAUCUUUGGAUUGUUUUAUGGCUAGGAAAUGAACCAACCUGUAAAUUGUGUAAUUGUGUUUUUGUUAAAUUAGUUUGCCCAUCUACUCACUUUUAUAAUUGAAACCUGGCAAAUUUUCUUAGUGUUUCCAAGUACUAUAUAGGAAGUUAAAAUACUAUGAAUACUAGGUAAAUAUGAGUUGACCCACUUUAUAGCUAAAAAGAGAAAACAUUCUGAACUGAGAUACACAGUGAGUAAGCAAAGGGAGUUGCUACUAAUAUUUUGUAUUCUCCACUGUGGGCCAGGAAAACUGCCAAGCAUUUUAUAUUAUUUAUUUACUCUUCAUACUCUUCAUAACAACUUUGUAAGUGGAGUUUAUUGUCCCAUUUUACAGAUGAGAAAAAUGAGACCCCCAAGAAGUUUAUUACUUGCUUAAGAAUAUACAACAAGUGUCAUAGCUAGGAUUUGAACUCAGGUUUGUCUGCCUCCAAAUUUCAUGUUUUUUUUUUUCUCAUGUUAUAAUUCUGUCAUGGAGGUUAAGCCUACCAUUCGAGUCAUUACAUUUAGUGGUGUUUUCGCAGGGAAAGAGUGAAUAAGUCUGGCCAAUUGGUGACAUGUAAGACAUGGACCAGUAAAAUACAGUUUCGGUGGUUAUUAAUUAAAGGCCUAUAGUCACUCAUGAAUAAAGAAAUCACUAAAGCUUGUGUGCAGCAUACUAAAGCUAAUUUAUCAUAAUCAUAGGGUUUAGGUGAUAACAAAUGAAGUAUAAAACCACUGGUUAGGAAGAAAAAAGUGAUUGUAUCUCCCUUAUUUUCAUCAUAGUCAAGGUAAUAUUUCUUAACCUUACCCAAGCACUGAAACAGUCCAGAAAUUCCUCCCUAAGUGAAGAGUAUGAAUAAGUCCAUUGACUCAGUUACAACAUCAAUCAACUUUUAUUGAGGGCCUACAAUGUGCUUAGCACUCUUCCAGGUUUUGUGAUGAGGUAUGUAUGUUUGAAUCGAUUAGAGAGUAAUUCAAUAUGUGCUAUAGAUCAAAGGUUGAAAAUAUAGGUCUACCCAUUGUAUUUAGAAGGUAAAUUAGUUGUAUAUUUCAUAUGAAAAUUCCGAUUUAUUUCUUCUUUUAAGAAAAAAACCGGACUUUCCAGCUUAUAUUUAAAAAAUUAAGAAGAGCUGGUAGCAAUUGCUCUACCUUAGAUAAGGGAUGGGUUCUUGAAUUUGUCACAAUAACUACUAUGUCCUAUUGGUUCUUCUACAAGGAAGCUACGUAUCAAUUGUCAUUGCAGUUGUCACUGUCGAUUGUCAAGAAUAUUGCCUGACUAACUGCUGAUGGCAUUUGGUUUGUAGCCUCGUGCUGUAGACUUAGAGAAGGCAUUAUAGAUGCUUUUGUGCAUUUUGUUUAGCUCAGAGUUUCUUGAGAGUUAAGGGAGGAAGAAAAGAAAUAAAUGGAUUUUAGAAUGUAAGACUGACUUUGGAAGAGAAUCUAUAGUUGGAUAAUAAAACUGGAUGUUGAAAGGGAAGUAUUGAUCAGAGGAGCAUUUCAGGAAAGAAGUGUGUAGAAGAAGGAAUGGGUAACAAGGUCAUUAGAAGGAAAAUUAUCUUGGUAAAGAUAGAUGAAAGAAGAGAAAUGGAAAGAAAAGGGAGAAAAAAGGGAAGAAAGAACAGGGAGAAAAAGGCAGGCAAGAUUUUCUGUGGAAAGAACUGCAUCCCUAUGACAACAAAAGUGAGGAACGUCAAGAGUAUAGUGGACACUUAACCAAGCAGAGUUUAGGUCUUGGUCAAAUAGAGGCUCACACAUUGUUUUUUUUAAAAAGCAAAUUAGCUGUCAUUUUAUCAUAUAAAAGUCCAGAUUUCUGUUUUAAGAAAAAUCUGAAUUACUAGCUUGUAUAUAUAUGUGUGUAUAUACAUAUAUAUAUUUAGAGAUAGGGUCUCACUCUGCCACCCAGGCUGGAGUGCAGUGGUGCAAUAAUAGCUCACUGUAACCUUGAACUCCUGGGUUCAAGUGAUCCUUCCACCUCAGCUUCCCGAGCAGCUAGAACUACAGGUGUGUGCCACUAUGCCUGGUUGCCUUUUUCUUUAGAGAUGGGAUCUCACUAUGUUACCCAAGCUGGUCUCAAACUCUGGCCUCAAGCGAUCCUCCUGCUUUAACCUCCCAAAGUGCUGGGAUUACAGGUGUGAGUCACUGAGCCCAGCCUUCUAGCUUAUUUUCUUUUUCAUCAAGGCUGAUUUAUAGAGAAUUCACUUCUGAUUACUGAGGUUGUGGGAUUCCCUCCUUAUGUAAUGGAAUUAUGAUGAGAGAAACUAUCAAUAAAUUAAGAAAAUAGUAAAGGUGGAGCCAAAUGUGAUCUAGAUUGUUCCACCUUAGGGGACAUUUUGGGAAGAGUUUGUGCCAAGUCAAAGGGUGAAGUCACCAAGGACAUAAUUUGCAUUUUAUUUUAAAAAGUUAAAUUAUACCUUUUUUCUCAAGAAAGAUCUAGUGCUGCAGAAUUUUUGGUUGAUCUUCUGACUUGGGUUAGUUCAGCAUAAAUAAUAAAUCAUGUAGUUGCCAUUCUUUGUUGCUUUGCUAUAUGAUUUGCUGUAAUUGGUUUGUGGUGGAGAUUGUGGGUUGCCAGCUAAUAUCCAUUCUCUCCUUUUUUCGUAGUAAAACAGAAUCCUGAUUUUAUUCUGGGCUGCAGUGUGCCCAGCUAAAAGACUAUACUACGUUUCACAGCUUUCCUUGCGAGGUGUAGCCAAUGGGAUGUAGGCAGAAGUGUUGAAUGGGUUAUCCAAAAAGAUUGCUGUGUUACUUCAUUUUCUGUAUACUGGAAACUGGGUGAUUUACAAAGAGAAGGAAUUUAUUUCUUACAGUUAUAGAGGCUGAGAGGUCCAAGGUCAAGGGGCCACAUCUGGCGAGGGUCUUCUUGCUGGUAGGGACUCUCUGAAGGGUCCUGAGGUGGCACAUGGCAUCACGUGGUGACAGAACUGAGCAUGCUAGCUCAGGUUUUUCUUCCUGUUCUUAUAAAGUCACCAGUCCCAUUCCCAUGAUAAUCCAUUAAUCCAUUAUCCCAUUAAUUCUUAAAUCCACGAAUAGAUUAAUCCACUAAUGAGGGCAGACCUCCCAUGACCCCGUCACCUCUUAAAGCCCUACCUCUCAGUACUGCCAACAUUGGGGAUUAAGUUUCAACAUAAGUUUUGGAGGGGACAAAAAAAUAUUCAAACCAUAGAAAUUGUUUAAAGGAAGCUGACUCAGUUGGGAUAAGCGCCUGUUUUGGUCUUCUUUCUUUCUUUUUUUUUUUUUUUUUGAGACGGAGUCUUCCUUUUUCUGCCAGGCUGGAGUGCAGUGGCACGAUCUUGGCUCACUGCAAGCUCCACCUCCUGGGUUCACACCAUUCUCCUGCAUCAGCCUUCCAAUUAGGUGGGACUACAGGCGCCUGCCACCACGCCAGCGAAUUUUUUUGUAUUUUUAGUAGAGACAGGGUUUCACCAUGUUAGCCAGGAUGGUCUCGAUCUCCUGACCUCGUGAUCUGCCCACCUCGGCCUCCCAAAGUGCUGGGAUUACAGGCGUGAGCCACCGCACCCAGCCUGGUAUUCUUUCUUAUUCCUUCCGCUUCCUGGAAUGCCAACACGAUGCUGGAAGUCUGAUAGCUGCCUUGGACCAUGAAGUAACCGUGCUAUAUGGAUGUGCUGCAGCUGGUGGGGCAGAAUAAUAGAUGGAGUCUGGGGCUCUGGACUGCCUGUUUAUGGACUUGCUAUAUAUGAGAGAAGAAACCCCAUGUGUUUAACCUCUUCUCUUUUGAAUUUUCAGUUAAGUGAAGUUGAACCUAACCCUAGCCGAAAGAGCACUGUUGUCUGAAUGCAACCGCAGGACACUGAGAAGCUGGAUAAGCACUCUCUUAGUGCUCUGUGUUGGAUUUGUGUAUGGCUUGGAUCACACUCCCUACCCUAACCUUGAUUCCAGAGAGUUGGGCCAGCUCAGGGUGGGGUGUAGGAGGAUACACUGUAUACACUCUGACAGUAUAUGUGUCUCCUCAACAUUCAGAGGCCACAUGGCAGGGCAGAUGUCCAUUAACUAUCUUGGGCUUAUCACAUCUCUUUAAUAAACAACAGUGGGGACAGAUAGUGCCCUACAGGCAUAUUACAGGGAAGACUUGAUGAAAUUUAGCAUUGUUUAUUGUCUGUCUUACAAACAAUGCACUUAGAUUUUUACCAUGAAACUAGCAGUAGAGUCCCUGAAGCUCAAGUUUAAAAAGCCUCAAGUCAAACGAUAUAUAUAUAUAUAUUUGUAAUUUUGUUAUGUGUUGGAGAGUUGACAUCAGCUGGCAUAUAUGACUGUCCAUACCAGCUGUUAUAUUAUUAAAAUAAUUUCGGCCGGGCACGGUGGUUCAUGCCUGUAAUCCCAGCACUUUGGGAGGCCAAGGCGGGCAGAUCACGAGGUCAGGAGAUCGAGACUAUCCUGGCUAACACGGUGAAACCCCGUCUCUACUAAAAAUACAAAAAAUUAGCUGGGCGUGGUGGCAGGUGCCUGUACUCCUAACUAAUCAGGAGGCUGAGGCAGGAGAAUGGUGUGAACCUGGGAGGCGGAGCUUGCAGUGAGCUGAGAUCGCACCACUGCAUUCCAGCCUGGGCAACAGAGCAAGACUCUGUCUAAAAAAAAAUAAUAAAAUAAUAAUAAUUUUAUACUGAUUGGGAAAUAGCUAUUGUUCAACCUCCCCAACACCAGGCUCCUCCCUUUGGGCCUUCUAGACCCCUACAUGAACCAGCAAGUAAGAGGUGAAUGCUUGACAGCAGGGAUCUUCCUGGAUUUAGUCACUACCCAUUUGCAAAGUUAGGCAUUUGAGCCUAUGGUGUUGUUGACAAAAAGAGUCAAACUCUAUAAAAUAUUUGAAGAGAUUUAAACUGAGCCAAAUAUAAGUGGCCAUGGCCCAUGACUCAGCUUUCAGGAGAUCCUGAGAACAUGUGCCCAAAGUGGUCAGGGGUGCAGCCUGGUUUUAUACAUCUUAGGGACAUGUGAGACAUCAAUGAAAUACAUUUAAGGUAUAUGUUGGAUUGCUGUAGACUUAGAGAAGGAAUUAUAGAUGCUUUUAUGCAUUUUGUUUAGCUCAGAGUUUCUUGAGAGUUAAGAGGGGAAGAAAAGAAAUAAAUGGAUUUUAGAAUGUAAGACUGACUUUGGAAGAGAAUCUAUAGUUGGAUAAUAAAACUAGGUGUUGAAAGGGAAGUAUUGAUCAGAGGAGGAUCCAGAAAGGCAGGGCAACUCGAAGUGGAGGUGGGGUGUGGAAUGGGGUGGGGCUUUUAAGUUAUAGGUAGAUUAAAAAUUUUUUGGGUUGGCAACUGGUUGAAAAAGUUAUUGUCAAUAGAAAGGAAUAUCUGGGUUAAGAUAAGAGGUUGUGGAGACUAAAGUUUUAUCAUGCAGAUGAAGCUUCCAGGUAGCAGGCUUCAGAGAGAAUAAAUUGUAACUGUUUAUCAGACUUAAGGUCCUGUUAAUGUUAAAUGCUGGUUGGCUUUUCCUGAAUUCAAAAGGGAGGAGGACAUAAUGAGGCAUGUCUGAUCCCCUCUCCAGCCCCUGAAUCAUGGCCUGAACCAGUCUUUCAGAUUAAAUUUAGAGGACCCUGGCCUAGAGGAGGAAGUCUAUUCACAUAGUUGUGGGGCAUUCACAUUUUAUUCCUGGAUUAUAGUGUCAUUAUCCCAGCAGUAAGUUACUGCCGUCCAAUAUUUAUCCGUAGUUUGAUUGAAACAGUAUACAGGGGAUAUCGCUCCAGGCAGUUUAUAGUUCACCCCUGGAUCAAAUCAGAUCCACAGAGAAACUGAGAAUGUGUAUUGCAUUUCAAUUAGCCUCUGCUACCCCUUGUCACCCUGAGAACUGGUCUUGCUGAAUUGUCAUGCAAUCAGCAUGACAAUGUGAUGUCAUCAGUCUGUGCUGUCAACAGCCUGGGCUGAGAGACAGGGAGGGAAACAGCACAAAUGACACUCAUUGUCAUCUGUCUUUUAGGAAUGUUGUCAAGGAUGUGUUUUUUUUAUAUCAUGGUUUCUAUUUAUGAGGAUACUCAGAGAACUGCCUAACUGCUUUUCGAUGUAAGAACAAUUGUAUUACUCCUGAGAAACUGUUCUCUUUUUAACUUUACAAAUCUCUUUGUAAGUGUCUAGUUUUCCCUUCUCCUUGUUUUUGUAGGUAGACUUACAUCUAUUCUGGUAUGAAGCAGAGAAUAAAUAAAUAAAUUAAGUUAAAUUAAAUGAAUCAUAUCAUAUUUAAAUGAAAUUAUGAAAAAACUCAAAGCCCAUGAUCAAAGAAACCUAAAUACGUAAGCAUUUCGCAUUUUUUUCCUCAGUGGAAUUUCAGUAUUAACUUAUCACAAUUAUACUAAUUAUGAUACUCAAUUUUAAAAGCUCUGGAAUGAAAAUAAUAACUAACUGAAGAGAAUAUUCUCUUUAAAUUCAUAUGUUCACAGACAUAUAAGCUCUUUUUUAUUACCAUAUUUUUACAGAUAAACACUUCAGCACAGUCAAGGCCUUGCACAAUUAAAUUUGGAAACUUUGCUUCAAUUCUAAGGGAGGCACAGUAUGAAUGUUUUUGCAGGCUUUGUCCUAAUUUUCCUUUGAAUAAACACGGGGAGAGUCUGUUCUCCAUAAUUUUCAUAAACAUGUAAUCUGGACAUACCCAAGUACUAUGUCUUCUGGGAUUUUCUUUCCAUUUUCUCCUUCUGUUGAUAAAUGGAUUCCACCAGGCACGGUGGCUCUUGCCUGUAAUCCCAGCACUUUGGGAUGCCAAGGCAGGAGGAUUGCUUGAGCCCAGGAGUUUGAGACCAGCCUGGGCAACAAAGUGAGACUUGUGAUUCCCAAUAAGUAAAAACAUUAGCCAGAUGUGGUGAAUCACAUGCCUGUAGUCCCACCUACUCAGGAGGCUGAGGCAGGAGGAUUGUUUGAGCCCAAGAGGAGCUGUGAUUAUGCUACUGCACUCCAGCCUGGCAACACAGCAAGACCCUGUCUCAAACAAAAAAGAAAAGAAAACAAACGGAUUCAAAUCUCGUCCCAUGUAACUCUGGAAUGUCCUGUUCGCUCUCUAAGAUUAUCAAAGAUUCCCAAGAGGGUUGCAUUCUCCUGGUUAUCUCCUACUGAUAGCAGCAGGAGACAGCCAAAUUCCUAGGCAGACAGGGGCAGGUCCUUGGUGAAACCUGAUGUUCAAGGCAAAGACAGCUUAGAGCCUGAAAACUGGGCUGCCAGUUCCAGGUUGGGUCCUCAACCCGAAGUGAGAACUUUCUUGAUACUAUUUAGCUAAUUGAAUGGUGCUUUUUCCAGGCCAGUCCGUGGACCACUCAGCACACACUCCCCUAUUCUGAGCCCAUAAAAACCCCAGACUCAGCGACAUGUCGGAACUACCUGCCUUUGGGUAGGGGCUACCCACUUAAGGUCCCCUCUGGUGUUAGCAGCUGUUUUGUCACUCAAUAAAACUCUUCUCCACCUUGCUCACGCUCUGGUUGUCCACAUAACCUCAUUCCUCUUGGACACAGGACAUGAACCUGGAGCCUGCCCGGAUGCGAAAGGAGCUGUAACACUGAAUCCCUCUCACCCUAUGCCAGUGCUGGAUGGCUGUCCCAUGUGAUGGGAAGUGGUGGUGGGGCCAGGCCAGCCCAGGAGCCAUCAUGGGCCAGAGUGGGGCAGCAGGACCAAACAAGCUAUAACACAAAUAAGCUGAAACAUGUUCCUGGCUGGCCUGCCAAGCUGCCAGCAGUGACAUGUUCCCAUUCGCCAGACUACAAGACAAGAGAGCUGUGACCCUUCUGGGGACCCAGACCUCGGGACUCCCUGAGUCAGAGCUGUGACAUGCUGUAACACCCCCUUGGGGCUCUGUGGUUGCUGGUGUCUCUGAGUUUUUGGGCACCACUGCAUUCCCCCUGUCCAGAUGCUGCUGCCUGGCCCAGCUACAGCCCCUCACAAAACUCACGCCUGUGCUGGUGCCUGGAGCUGCCCACCCCACUGCAGCAGCUGGCACACCUGGCUGUGCAUCAUGGCUGGACCCUACACUUGCUCACUCACACACCCCUUGCCAUUCUGUGCCUGGCUUGUCCACAGUGGGCAUGGGAUCUGGGCCAGUAGCGCAAGCUCAGUACAGCCUGCCAGGCCGAGUGGGUGGAGCCAGCUCAGCAGUCAAAAGUGAAACUCAGGCAGAGGCACCACUGGCCACAGAGGUUACCGAAAGAAUCGUGUGUCACUACUGUUAGCGGUGCCUAAUUUAUACAGGUCUGCAGCAACUUCAGUUCUUGCCUUCUAAGAAGAGAGAAUUCAACUGAGGUGGGUCAUAAGGCAGAGUCAGAGACUGAGGCAAGUUUUAAGCAGGAAUGAAAGUUUAUUAAAAAGUUUUAAGUAGGAAUGAGAGGAAGUAAAGUACACUUGGAAGAGGGCCAAGCAGGUGAUGUGAGAGAGUCAAGUGCCCAGUUUGACCUUUGACUUACAGUUUUGUAUGUUCCAGCAUCUUCUGUCCCUUCUCACCUGAUUCUUCCUUUGAAGUGGGCUGUCUGCAUGCACAGUGGCCUGCUAGCACAUGGGAGGGACCACAGGCACAGUGAGUUUACUGGAGUUGUAUGCAUGCUCAGGUGAGGCAUUCUUCCCUUACCAGUUGAGUGUUCCUAGAGGAAGGUCAUAUACCAGUUAAACUCUGCCAUUUUGGCUCUUAACGCACAUGCUUGAGACCACUCACCCAAUUCCUGAGAUCUUAUCGGAAAGCUGCUGAUCACCAGUUUCAGUUUUUUCCAUCUAUUGGGAGACUGCCUUUCUCUGGUGCCGGCUGCGACCCAUUAGUAUUUUGGAGAGACAGUUAACUACCUGACUAUCACCUGAUGGUUGCCUAAUGUUAGUAGGGGGGCAUCUCUCCUACCCUGCUCAUGUCUGCCUGACUACCUAAUGUAACACUACUUUAAAUUAUUAUUCUGGUUGAUUUCUUAGCCCCAAAGAUGAAUCAUCCCUCCUCCUUUCUUAUUUCCCAAAACAUUACUAACACAGGGUUAUUUUGUGUAGUACUUUUUAAAAAAUUAGAGAUAACCUAAGAGGCCACAGCACUGCACAAAAUGGGGAUCACCUUAAAGUUCAGUGUUAGGCAGCAUUGCCCCUGGCUAUUUCCAUCAUAAGUAAACAGCCUUCUUUCUCCAGAGCCCCCUCCUGCUGGCUUGUUGCUGGCCCCUCCUCUUCUUCUUGUUUAUUGUACAACAAAACCGCACAGGCAAAGCUUAAAAUUUGCUGGUACUUUAACUUGCAGAGAAAUUUAACUGCUUCCCUCAACCUCCUGCCCAUAUCAGAAUAGAGGCCUUUGUAUGCUAGAGUUUCCAAUACCAAAUAAUGGCAACAAUAAUAAAUAGUGACAACAUUUUACAUUAUAUAUUACUUUAAGUUAUAGCAAAGCAAAUUUUGAGUAGGGCUCUCUCCCCACCAGCAAGAUUCUUGGGAUCUUAUCGUUUGUGGGGAGGAAUCUGGAAACUGUAUUAUAAUAGACACCCUUUUAUCUGAUAUUAUUGAAUUGUUAGUAGGGUAACUAUUAACAAUUAAUUGAAAAGUCAGUUAAUACAAAGAUUCAUAAAAUGAUAUGUUUUAUAUUUUAUUAAAAUGUGUAACCUGUUCAUCUUUUGAUGUUGGGCUGAGUUUUCUUUUGAUUACUUAGUAAUUAGAGUUCUAGUGUUUCUUUUUUAUGAAUUCUAGCUAUAAUAUAUUUGAUACAGUGUCUUGUUUUUAUUUAAAAUAAAAUGAGAACUUAAUAUUUUAAAGCAAUCAUUGCAAAAUCCACUUAGAUUUUUACGAUUAUUUUUCACCAAUAUUUAUAUUUAUCUAAUAUCUUAUUUGACCACAGUCCUCUUUAGCAAUUUGCUUUUAGUUUUUCCAAAGUAGUCAAUUUAUGUGUCCUAGAAGUGACAACCAUCUUUUUUUUCAUUCAUUUAAUCAGUUUCAUUAUCUUUUAAUAUGCAGUUACAAUCGGAUGUAAAAUUAGCAUUAACAUCUUUGGGGCUGGGCGCGGUGGCUCACGCCUGUAAUCCCAGCACUUUGGGAGGCCGAGGCAGGCGGAUCACUUGAGAUCAGGAGUUCGAGACCAGCCUGCCCAACACGGUGAAACCCUGUUUUACUAAAAAUACAAAAAUUAGCUAGGCGUGGUGGCAGGCAUCUGUAAUCCCAGCUACUGAGGAGGUUGAGACAGGAGAAUCGCUUGAACCCAGGAGGCGGAGACUGCAGUGAGCUGAGAUUGUGCCAUUGCACUCCAGCCUGGGUGACAAGACCAACAUUCUGUCUCAAAAAAAAAAAAAAAAAAUCUUUGGGAGCAGACACGAUGGACUCCUGGUAAGUGUGUAUUUCAUGGUGACAUAAGGGCCAAAUGAGGCAGCAGCACGUGGGGCAGGUGAUGUUCUACAGAAGGAAUGGAGGAUGUUGAUUAGUUUAGACAGCUGGUUAGUGGAGGUGCUUUAUGACAGCUUCUCUGAGAGCAGAUUAAUAUUAGUAAUCAGAGGCCCAGGGCCAGCUCUGCCUACCAGGUAUAUGAUUUCAGGAAUGUAACAUCACUUCUCUGAAACUCAGUUUCAUCUGUAAUUUGUGAAAAAAAUAACAUUUGCUAAACCUACCUGCCAGGAAGAUCAAAUGAAAUAAUGUACAUGAAAGCCUUUUUUUGAAAUAGCAAAAUACUGUUAAAAAAUAGGUGUUUUUGCUACUUUAGGUUUUAUUUUAUUUACAACAUUUGAUAAGCUGUAGGGACAUACUUCCUUGGAGUCUCUCCUAUCUUUUCCUUUAUUUAUGAUGACUGGUAUUCCAGAUUUUCAGCUUAACUGGAGUGGUAUGUGAUGUAGAAAGGCUAUUGGAGCUUUAUUGUCUUGAACAUGAGUUACCUUUUCUCAAAUGAUAAGUAACAGCCUUUCCAGAUUCUAGUUUCAGAAAUAAAUUGGGUUCCAAUUAUAUAUACGUUGAAACAUGAUGGUUGACCUGGCAACAUAAUGGCCCCCAAACAGAAGUAUUCAUUUUCCCCAAAACUGUACAUAAAUUUCAGCUUCUGACACUUAAGACCUCUGAUGGUGUUAUUCAAACAUACAAUCAUUUUGGCUAAAAGUCUUCAUAGUGCUUAUAUGUAGAUAUAUAAUUUUAUAUAGUGAAUGUAAACAAUGCACAUGUUAUGAUAUUAAUUUUACAGAAAAGGAAGCUGAGGCUGAGAGGGAUUAAGAAUCUUAUUGAGGCUCAUAAGCGUAGUAGCAAGUAGUUGGACUGAGACACGAAUCUAGGGCUUCUGAUGCUAAAUGUCAUAAUGACUACAACUGAAACUCUCUAGAUAGCAGAGAUUGAAUAAAUAUACCUGAAUGAGUCACAGAGCUGGAGCAAAUAGUAGAUACACUGGAUGUCUGACAAGUCAAGAUGUAUAGGAAUAAUUUCAUUUUUAAAAGUAUAUUGAUUGCAUUUAAAAAUAAUAUAGUCCUUAAGAUUUUCUACAAUCUACAGAAAACUUUUCAGGUGAAGUACCUCAGAGUUUAAAGCAAAGGUCUAAUUUUUUAUUCUGAAAAACUACAAUAAAUAUACUACUUAUGUAUCCAGACCUAUUGGACACUGUGAUAUCAAGGUUAGUUAGAAAAUGCCAGUAAAAAUCUCAACAUUUUCUCAUGAGACUUGAUUGUUGUAUUUAUGCUUUAUAUUAGGAUCGUGUGAUAUAAAUGAAAUACUUAGUAUUGUAAGAAGGAUUUAAUCCUUGUAUUUAUAACAUUAAACAGAGUAGAAUUCUAUUACAACAAAACUAUUAUGAAUGUUUGCAUAGGCCAAAAGUAUAAUCAUGGUAGGUCAUUAAAAGUUUGAUGACAAUGAACGCUGAUAGUAUCUUUAAAGAGAAGAGAUGGUGAUUGGCCUAAGAGGGCAAGCUAAACAUCUUCACCAUAAAGCUAUCUCUAAUAAUGUCAGAAAAGAUAUAUUUUUGGAAGGAAUAAAUUCAGUGCUGGACAACUGCCAUCAGUAAAUGAGACAUUUCUGUCCUCUUGAAGAAGAACACAGGUGAAGAUCAAUCAGUGGAGAAAACCGCAUUCCUAAACACUGACACCACUGGAUUAUUGAAGAUCAUGGUGUAAUAGCUUCAAAAUUCUGAAGGAAGAUGAUUGUGAAUCUAAAAUUCUAUAUCCAGGCAAACUAAUAUAUAAGAAGAAAGGCAAAAUAAAGGCAUUUUCAAAAUAUGCAACAACUCAGAAAGUUUACUUCCACAGACAACUCCAGGAAAAUAAAAUAUAAAUUCAAGGAAAAUGAAGAUAUGGGAUAAAGGAAAUAUAGGUAUAUAAAGAAAUCAGUAAAAAUUGUGGUUGUAUCUAAAUCAUAUUGUUUUGUAAUGAGUGCCAACCGAAAUAACAGCCAGAGAGAGGCUCUCUAAAGUAAAAUGAUAUUUAUCUGGGAAGGAACAUUGCAAGGGAAUUCACAUACCAUAGUAAAGUGUGUGCAUAUUCAGGGAGGUAAAGGAAGACAAAGGUUUUUAAUGGAAAAAUGAGAAGGAUUACAUAAUCGUUUUGAGUUAAAUUGUUUUGAGAUCUUUGGCUACAAAAAUUAGUUACAAGGGUGGCACCAGUCAGAGGUUGGAGAGGCAGUUGCUGGGCAGAUGCCCUUUCAAAAGCAUUUUUGUGUGUGUGUGUGUACGGUUGUGAUGGCUGUUGUGUAAGGGUGUGGUUUUUGCAGUCUUUUAUGAUAGUUCUUAUUAUCAGGCAUUUGCAUAUGAGACCCCCGCUGCCCCUGCUUCAUGGCUUCCCCUGGCUCUAUUUGUCAAGGUUUUUAAUAUGAGUGACUCCAUUUUGAUUCUGACAACUUUCAUAUAAGGGUGAAAUACUUUACUGGUACUUUACUUUACUGGUAAUUUCUAGAAGAAUAGAAAUAUGUAUUUUCUAACCCACAAAAGGCAUGAAGAGGAAAAAAGAGCAACCAUAAACCAUAGUAAAUUAAAAAUAUUAAAUUAAAGAAGUUAAAAGUUUACAAUUGCCAGUAACCACAAAAAAUGUACAUGUGUUACAUAUUUUGUAUUAAAAGGCAACCUUUGGUUUAGGUUAAAACUGUCUCAGAACUUCACCUUACUGCUGUUUAUAAGACAUGCUAAAGUGAAAUAACAGCAAGAAUGAAAGAGGGAUUGAAAAAUUUGUGCCAAGCAACUACUAUUGUAAAGGAGGGUAUAACAAUAUUAUUAUCAGAAAAAAUGAAUUCAAGGAAAAUCACAUUAAAUAGAACAAAGAAGAAUAAUUCAUAUAGAUCAAAGUCAUGCUACCCCAAGAAUAUGAGUUAUAACCUUUUUUGUUCCUAGCAACUCAGCAGAGUUGUUACACAUAAACAAAACGGGGAGAAAUAAAGGAAUUUGUAAUUACCAUGGGGUAUAAUAACGCCUGUUUCAGAAAUGGACAGAUACAGUAAUCAAAAAUUAACAUACAGAUUUAAAAAAUAAUACAAUGACCAUGUUUGUUCCAAUAGGCAUAUAUAAAACUUUGUACCCAAUGCAAAACAUACCAGUUGUUUUCAAACAACCAUGACAAAAUCAUUUUAUAAAGGGAAACAAAAUUUAAAAUAUAGAAAUUAUAUAGAACAUAGUCUCUCACCAGAAUUUAGUAAAUUAUUUAUUAAUUUAAAAAGGUAGCUACAGAGAAGCUGGGGGUGGUGGCUCACACCUAUAAUCCCAGCACUUUGGGAGGCUGAGGUGGUGGGAUCACUUGAGGUCAGGAGUUCAAGACCAGCUUGGCAACAUGGUGAAACCCCAUCUCUACUAAAAAUACAAAAAUUAACCAGGCAUGGUGGUGCAUGCCUGUGAUCCUAGCUACUUGGGAGGCUGAGGCAGAAGAAUUGCUUGAACCUGGGAGGUGGAAGUUGCAGUGAGCUGAGAUCACACUACUACACUCCAGCCUGGGUGACAGAGGAAGACUGUCAAAAAAAAAAAAAAAAAAAAAAGUAACUACAGGAAAAUAUUUACUUGGAAAAUUUAAAAUUUAAAAUUUUAAAAAAUAUUCCAUCUGAAGAAAGGAACCUGGCCAAAUUGUUUUAUAGUCAAGUUUUUCAAACAUCAAGGAUUCUUCAUUAUGGAAAAUGUUUCAAAGCAUCGUAAAAGAUGGAAAGCUUUUCAGCUUAUUAAAUAAUGCUAAACGCAAAUAUGAUAAAGAAAUGUGAGUAUAUCAACUUCUAAGUAAUUAUUAGAUUAAAUGGCAAGUCAAAAUUGAAAUAAUAAACCAUAUUAAGAAUUCAGUUUUAAAAUGAAAGGAGUGCGUAUCAAAACUUAGGGGAUGCAGCCAAAGCAGCAUUAGGGGAAAAUUUGUAGGAUUACAUGUACUUAUGAGAAAACAUGAAAAAUAAAUGGAUUGUAUUUUCAAUUCAAAAACUAGAAAAAGAACAAGGUAAACCCAAAGAAUGUGGAAAAAAUAAAAUAAUAAAAGCAAACAUUAAAGUUAUGAAAAAAAGAGUAAUGAUCAAUAUAAUUUGUUGAUAAGUUAAAAAAGCAAAUUUUGUUCUUUUAAAAUACUGUUGAAAUAGACAAACUUUUGGCAAUUGUGAUCAGGAAAAAAGAGAAGGCUUGUAAAUAUAACCUUGAUAAUAAGAAAGGGACAUACUUAUAGAUACAAAUGACUUUUUAAAAAUUAUAAUUCUUUAUAGGAAUAAAUUUAAAAAUCUAAAUGCAAAGGAUGAUUUUCUAUAAACUCCUGUAAUUAAUUUACAAGGUAGAAGGUAGAAAAAUAUUCUUUCCUAAAAAAGGCACCUGGCCCAAAUAGGUUUACAGUCACAUUUACCAAACACUAAGGACUGUACAUCAAAUAAAAUGUUCUAAAGCACAGAAAAAGAUGGAAAGCUUUCUAAAGUAUUUAAUAGUGCUAAAAGCAAAUAUGACAAAAAAAUAAUUUACAAUAGCAUCAGAAUAACAAAUACUUAGGAAUAAAUUUAGCAGAAUAAUUGUAAAACUCAUAAAACUGUAAAACAUUCUUGAAAGUAAAUAAAUGGAUCAAAUAAAUAAAUGGAAAUGCAUCUCAUGUUCAGGGAUUAGAAGACUUACUAUUGUUAAGAUGGCAGUGUUGCCAAAAUUGAACUACAGGUUCAUCACAAUCCCUAUCAAAAUCCCAGUUAGCUUCUUUGCAGAACUGACAAGCUGAUUCUAAAAUUUAUAUGGAAAUGUAAGAGACCCAGAGUAGCCAAAAGAAGAGCAAAGUUGUUGUAUUCACACUUCCUGAUUUCAAAACUUACUACAAAGCUAUGUUAGUCAAGAAUGUGGUACUGAAAUAAGGAUACACAUCUAGGUCAAUGGAAUAGAAUGGAGGGUCCAGAAGUAAACCCUUAUAUUACUUUUGACAAGAAUGACAAGAGGACUCAAUAGGGGAAACAACAGUCUUUUCAACCAGUGGUGCCCAGUUGGAAAUUAACAUGCAAGAGAAUGAAGUUGAACCACUAUCUCACACCAUAUGCAAAAAAUAAUUCAAAUGAAUCAUAGACCUAAAUGUAAGAGCUAACACUAUAAAACUCUUAGAAAAAACAUAGGCAUACGUGGCUCACGCCUGUAAUCCCAGCACUUUAGGAGGCCAAGGUGGGUGGAUCACUUGAGGUCAGGACAAGCCUGGCCAACAUGAUGAAAUCCCGUCUCUACUAAAAAUACAAACAUUAGCCGGGCAUGGUGGCACAUGCCUGUAGUCCCAGCUACUUGGGAAGCUGAGGCAGAAUGGCUUGAAACAGGGAGGCGGAGGUUGCAGUGAGCUGAGAUCAUGCCAUUGCACUCCGGCCUGGGCAACAGAGUGAGACUCUGUCUCACAAAAAAAAGAAGGAAAAAACAUAGGCAUAAAUCUUCAUGACCUUAGAAUGGGCAGUGGUUCCUUACAUAUUUCACCAAAGUACAAUCAAUAAAAGAAAAAAGUAGAUAAUUGUAUAUUAAAAUUAAAAAUUUUAUGUUUCGAAGGAUAUCACAAGAAAGUUAAAAGAACCCACAGAACAUGAAGAAAUAUCUGCAAAUCACACGUCUGAUAACAGAGUUGUACCUAGUAUACAUAAAGAACUCUUACAACUCAGUAGUAAAAAAUAGCCCAAUUAAAAAAUAGGCAAAAGAUUUGAAUUGGCAUUUCUCUGAAGAAGAUAUACAAUAACCAACAAGCACAUGAAAAGAUGCUCAUCAUUAGCUCUCAGGGAAAUACAACUUAAAAUCACAACGAUAUGCCACUUCACACCUGGUAGGGUGGCUACAGUCGGACAGAAAAAAUAACAAGUGUUGAUGAGGAUACGGAAAAAGUGAAACAUUCAUAUGCUGCUGGUGGGAAUGUAAAAUGCUGUAGCCACUUUAGAAGACCAUCUUUCAGACCCCCAAAAGGUUAAACAGAUUUAUCAUAUGACCUAUCACCCCAUAGAAAUGAAAACCUUGGUGCUCACAAAAACUUGUAUAAGAAUGUUUAUAAUAGCAUUAUUUAUAAUAGCCAAAAAAUGGAAAUGACCCAAAUGUCCAUUAGUUUGGAUAAAGUAAAUGUACUAUGUACAUACAAUGAAAUUAUUCAUCCAUAAAAAGGGAUAAAGAACUGAUGCAUGCUACAACAUGAAUGACCUUUGAAAAACACUAUACUAAGUGUGAAAGAAUCCAGUCACAAAAGAUUACAUAUUGUAUGAUUCCAUUUAUAUGAAUCGUCCAGGAUAGUCCAAUAUAUAGAGACAGAAGAUAGAUUAGUGGUUGUUUAGGGCUGGGGAUGCAUUUCGGGGAAAUGGGGAAUGACUGCUAAUGCUAUGUAGUAUUUUGGGGGUGAUAAGAAUGUUCUCAAAUUGGUUGUGAUGGUUAUAUAGCUCUCUGAAUAUACUAAAAAUGAUUGAAUUCUACACUUAAAAUGGGUAAAUUAUAUAGUAUGUGAAUUAUAGCUUAAUAAAACUGUUAGAAAAAGGAAACAAGCUAAUACCCAGUUUCAGUUAUUCACUAUCAACAUAUUAAAUUUUAUUUUUACUUUUAUUUGAUACCUUAUAUUGAUAAAUCAGCCAUGUGUUAAAAUCUUAUUAGCCUAGAAAUGCUAGGAUAACUGAUCAUAAGUAACCAUAUUAGUAUAAUUGUAAGUAAAGAUUCAGAAGGCGGGCGGAUCACGAGGUCAGGAGAUCGAGACCAUCUUGGCUAACACGGUGAAACCCUGUCUCUACAUAUUGUAUGAUUCCGUUUAUAUGAAUCGGAAAAAAAAUACAAAAAAUUAGCCGGGUGCGGUGACGAGUGCCUGUAAUCCCAGCUACUCAGGAGGCUGAGGCAGGAGAACGGCGUGAACCCAGGAGGCAGAGCUUGCAGUGUGCCGAGAUAGCGCCACUGCAGUCCAGCCUGGGCGAAAGAGCGAGACUCCGUCUCAAAAAAAAAAAAAAAAAAAAAAAAAAAGAUUUUAAAUAUAAGGAUUCUGCUGUUUUGGAGGAACAAAGGAGAGAACUGUUCCCCUUCCUUGCACAUCAAAAUGACAGGUUUCUUUUUUAAUUUAAUUUUUUUUUUUUUUUUUUUUUUUUUUUUAGAGACAGGGUUUUGCUCUGUCACCCAGGCUGGAGUGCAGUGGUGUAAUCAUAACUCACUGUAGCCUCAGGAUCCUGAUCCUGGGCUCAAGCAAUCCUCUUGCCUCAGCCUUCCAAGUAGCUGGGGACUACAGGAGCGUGCUGCCAUGCUUGGCUAAUUUUUAAUUUUUUUGUAGAGAUAGGAUCUCUACAUGUUGCCCAGGCUGGUCACGGACUCCUGGCUUCAAGUGAUCCUCCCGCCUUGGCCUCCCAAAGUGUUGGGGUUACAUGUGUGAGCUACAGCGCCCAGCUUAAAAUGACAGAUUUGAAAACACUAAUACAACUGGUCAUUUUCAAGAGUUGCCAUUGAGUCAAUAAGGUUGGAGGGGCCUUGAGAUUCUCAGAAGGGGAAUGGAGACCUUGCAUCUCUCAUGUGGAGGUGAGACUCCUUGACAGUCAGUGUGGGAAAGGAAAGCAGACAUCAUAGUCAAUAGCCAGCUAACUAUUUUGUUGAGAUUUUUCUCAUUUUGCUGAGACUUUUCUGUAAUAGUUACAGACAUGAAGCACCAUUAUAUUGCGAAGAGACUGAUCCAUCCCUCCCCCAACACACUGACAAAUUAAAUGACACAAGCUCUGUGGUCAUCUCAAUAAAUGCACAAAAGCAUUUGAUUUUAAUUGAUUACCUGGUUCUCUUCUCCAAGGACACCCCACCCCCUGUUUUGUUUUUUCCCCAGUGAGGGAAGGGCCAAGGAUCACAGUGUGGAAAUUAAGACUGCGUUUUAUAUUAUCUCAUACAAUUUCUGGAAAUGGGAUGACACAGAAGCUUUUGCUUCACAUUUUGGGGGUAGAGCAGUGACCUUUCCAAGUUUUAAAUCUAUGCUGAUAUUCAGAAUGUAAUAAUAGUUCAUCUGAAUUCUUUUCUUAGCUCACUUUAAUGUAAGAGCUACUUUAUUGAUUCCAUUGCUCUUUUAACUGAGCCAUCUUUUUUAAUAUAUAAUAUACCCACAUCAUAGUCUUCCCAUCAUGGUAUGUAAUUCCAAACCAACCAUGCCCUUAUAUUACAAGGCUGUGGAAAGUUCUGAUAACAGCUAUGUUGAGAUGUAAACCUGUGGUGCUAUGUCCUCAUAGAAUUUUAUUUAAUUGAUAUGUACUUCAUAUUUUGUCAGUUUCUUAAGCCAUUGGGUCUACAUUUUCAAGACUUUUAAGUUUAAUCUUAUUUUAUUGGAAACAAUUUCUGUACAUAAUGGAUUUACAAUGCUGGUGAAACAACCUCACCCAAGAUUUAGGCUCUUUUUUUUUGAAAGGAUUGGAUCUCAUCUAAGCAAACAAACAAUAAAUAUUCAUGUGGCAGAACAGUAAUAGCUUGCAUUUAAUGAGUAUGCAGUAUGUACCAGAUCAGGGUUAAGUGCUUUACACGCAAUAUUUCCAUUAUUAUCUAGCCUCAUUUUAAAUUCAGGACCACAAAUCUCAAAUGGGAAGUCAGUGCCAUACUUCUUACUGCACUUCCUAGGAUGUCCUUUUUCUUACUCUCCACAAUGAUUUCAUACAUCUCUCACUUCAAAACCCGACUUUCUCCCCUGUGUUUUCUCUCAGCUGAUGACCUUGCCCAUACUUUGUUGAGAAAAUAGAAACAAUCAGAUAGGAACAAACAUCAUCCAGCCACCAAAUCUCCCCGCAUUUGUACCCCCAGUCUCUGCCUUGUUAUUUGUUGCAAUGGACGAAGUGUUCCUAUUUUCCUCUUUUGCCCUCUCAAGGAUGUUACUCCUGUGAGCAUCCCCUCUCCUUCCUACCUUUAUAAUGUCCCUCUCUAUAUAGUAUUAGUUCCAUCAGGAUGCAGAUAUUUUCUGGAAUCUUGCAACUAAACAAAAGCAACAACUUCCCUUAACCUUAUAUCCUUUCCUUUCCAGGACCCAUUUCUCUGUUCUUCUUCCAAAGAAUUGUCUAUAGUCACUGUCUCUAGACAGUGCUUGUGACCCACCUUUCCUCUACCCCACCAAACAGGCUUUUAUCUCCACUGCUACACAGAGCUCAUUCUUGGCCAAGUUGGCUUGAUCUCCAUAUUGUCAAUCCAGUGCCAUUUCACUGUCAUUAUUUUACUGGACCCUUUCCACAGUGUUUGACAAAGUGAACUCUUUUCUCUUGGCUUCUAUGACAGGACCCUCUCUUGGUGUCCUUUCAUAUCAUUUGGUCACAUGAUUUCCAAGUCCUUUGCUGGCUCCUUCUCUGCCCAACCACUGCCAGUGUGAGCACUGAGACAGGAAGAAAGCCCAGAGAUGGUGGUUUCUUGGAAGCCAAGGGAAGGAAGUGUGCAUCCUAGAGAUUGGGUUUAGAAGGAGCAGUCACCAGCAGAGGACAGCUGAACACAGUGGCCUGACAACCUCAUAGUUGUGCUCGUGACAUCAUGAUGUCAGGAUGAGGGGGAUAGAGCCAAAUUAGAGGAGGAAGCUAGUUCCAAAUACUCAUGAGACCAAGGAGAAUUUCAGAUCAUUUUUGUUUGUGUUACACUGGAGGCAAUAAGCCACCAGCAAGAAGGAAAUGCAUUAGAACUUCCCCUUGAGUUAAAAAACAGGGAAAGAAAGCUAUUCUGCAUCAAAAACAUCUUUGAGUAAGAGAAGCAAAGGAGGACAAUUAUGUAAAUAAAGCCAAUCAGACUUUAGAAAUGAGUACUUCAUGGAGACAGGGUGAGAAAACAGAGUAUUUUGGGUUCUUUUUGGUUCUGUAUGAAUUUUAGCAUAGUUUUUUUCUAAUUAUUUGAAAAAGAUGACCUUGGCAGUUUGAUAGGAAUAGCAUUAAAUCUAUAGAUUGCUUUGGUCAGCAUGGACAUUUUAACAAUAUGGAUUCUUCCAAUCCAUGAGCAUGGAAUAUUUUUCCAUUUGUUUGUGUCAUCUCUGAUUUCUUUCAGCAGUGUUUUGUAGUUCUCCUUGUAGAGAUCUUUACCUCCUUGGUUAGGUUUUUGUUGUUGUUUUGUUUUUUGUUUUUUGGUGUGGCUAUCAUAAAUGGGAUCGUGUUCUUGAUUUGGCUCUCAGCUUGAACAUUAUUGACAUAUAGAAAUGCUACUGAUUUUUGUACAUUGAUUUUGUAUCCUGAAAUUUUGCUGAAGUAGUUUAUCAGGUCUAGGAACAUUUUGGUGGAGUCUUUAGGGUUUUCUAGGUAUAGAAUCAUAUUGUCAGUGAAGAGAGAUAAUUUGACUUGAUAAUUCAUUUUUUCCUAUUUGGAUGCCUCUUAUUUAUUUUUCUUGCCUAAUUGUGAAUUUUAGGCUUUUAAAAGUAACACUCCUUAAUAGAAACAAGAGAAUUUGUGGAGCUAUCUGUAAUAAUAAUGAGUUUGGAGGGCAAUGACAUUGCUUUUUGGAGUAUAACUCCAAAAUAAAUAAGGGACCCCAAGCAAUAUUACAGACGUUCUUCAACAGAAUUUUUUGUGGUAACUGCAGAAAGGGAUUUAAUGUGGCUUUUUCUUAUAGGUGAUAAAGAGUGAAGACCUUCACCCUGUUAGAAACAGUUGUGUGUUUAUCUAAGCUACCCAAUUACAAAAACCAAAUCUGACUUUUCAAAGUAAGCACAUUAUUUUCUAUAUAAUUGCUAUAAUUAACUAUGGGGAUAUCACUGACCCAUUAGCAGAAAAAAACAUAUGGAAUGAGAUUUGUCUUUAUGCUUGGGCUAGGAUGUUAUAAAAUUACACAUCGUUAACCAUAAACUCAGUCACUGUGUUGUAUAGCUGGGAUGCUAAGACACAAAUAGUGGCAGAAAUAGCACAACCAGUCCAUUACCACUUUUAAUUACUCAGGAUGAUAAUUUUAGGUAUCUUUUUUUUAUUAUUAUACUUUAAGUUCUAUGGUACAUGUGCACAACGUGCAGGUUUGUUACAUAUGUAUACAUGUGCCAUGUUGGUGUGCUGCACCCAUUAACUCGUCAUUUAUAUUAGGUAUAUCUCCUAAUGCUAUCCCUCCCCCAGCCCCGCAGCCCAUGACAGGCCCCGGUGUGUGAUGUUCCCCUUCCUGUGUCCAAGUGUUCUCAUUGUUCAGUUCCCACCUAUGAGUGAGAACAUGCAGUGUUUGGUUUUUUUGUCCUUGCGAUAGUUUGCUGAGAAUGAUGGUUUCCAGCUUCAUCCAUGUCCCUACAAAGGACAUGAACUCAUCAUUCUUUAUGGCUGCAUAGUAUUCCAUGGUGUAUAUGUGCCACAUUUUCUUAAUCCAGUCUAUCAUUGUUGGACAUUUGGGUUGGUUCCAAGUCUUUGCUAUUGUGAAUAGUGCUGCAAUAAACAUAUGUGUGCAUGUGUCUUUAUAGCAGCAUGAUUUAUAAUCCUUUGGGUAUAUACCCAGUAAUGGGAUGGCUGGGUCAAAUGGUAUUUCUAGUUCUAGAUCCUUGAGGAAUCACGACACUGUCUUCCACAAUGGUUGAACUAAUUCACAGUCCCACCAACAGUGUAAAAGUGUUCCUAUUUCUCCACAUCCUCUCCAGCACCUGUUGUUUCCUGACUUUUUAAUGAUCACCAUUCUAACUGGUGUGAGAUGGUAUCUCAUUGUGGUUUCGAUUUGCAUUUGUCUGAUGGCCAGUGAUGAUGAGCAUUUUUUCAUGUGUCUGUUGGCUGCAAAAAUGUCUUCUUUUGAGAAGUGUCUGUUCAUAUCCUUCGCCCACUUUUUGAUGCGGUUGUUUGUUUUUUUUCUUGUAAAUUUGUUUGAGUUCUUUGUAGAUUCUGGAUAUUAGCCCUUUGUCAGAUGAAUAGAUUGCAAAAAUUUUCUCCCAUUCUGUAGGUUGCCUGUUCACUCUAAUGGUAGUUUCUUUUGCUAUGCAGAAGCUCUUUAGUUUAAUUAGAUCCCAUUUGUCAAUUUUGGCUUUUGUUGCCAUUGCUUUUGGUGUUUUAGACAUGAAGUCCUUGCCCAUGCCUGUGUC
rnacentral:lncRNA from 1 species